AGCUCUGAGAGUGUUUAUAGAGCUGUGAGUUUAACACUUCAUGACUGAGAGCAGAACAGAACACAAUCUUCAUCAUCACACAAGACACAACAACAACAAUGAACAACAUCAUCAUCCUCAUCUGGACUCUCACACUGUUUGCUCAAGAGUGUAGAGGACAGUACACUGUAACUCAGAGUCCAUCAUUAAUAACAGCAGCUCAAGGACAAGAAGUCAGAAUAAACUGUAAAACCAGCAGUAGUGUGUGUGGUAGUCACUUACACUGGUACUUACAGAAACCUGGAGAAGCUCCUAGACUGAUGAUAUAUUAUGCAACAAGCCGUUACACUGGAACUCCUUCUAGAUUCAGUGGCAGUGGAUCUGGCAGUGAUUUCACUUUGACCAUCAGUGGAGUCCAGACUGAAGAUACAGGAGAUUAUUACUGUCAGAGUUACCACUGUUCUAGUAGCUAUGUGUUCACAUUCGGUGGAGGAACUAAACUGGUGCUCGCUGGUCCCACAGUGAAGCCCUCAGUGUCUCUGCUGCCGCCCUCUUCUCUGCAGAUCUCUGGAGACUCAGCCGCACUGCUCUGCCUGCUCAGCUCUUACUCUCCACAGGGGGCGCUGGUGAGCUGGACACUGGACGGCUCAGAGGUCACCGAGGGGGUUGUGACCAGCGCAGAGAGCGAGCAGGACGGCCGCUACAGCCGCAGUAGUGUCCUGACCCUCAGCAAAGCACGCUGGGAAGCGGGAGAGCAGUACGUCUGCAGAGUAACACAUGAUGGAGCUCCUCAUGAGGCCUCGUUCCACAAGAGUCGCUGUUAGUCGCUCGCAGUGCUGAUGUUUCUCCAGUGAGCGCUGCUCUCUCCUGAAGAUGAGCGUAUCUGAGUGUCCUGUGUCAGGCAGGAUUCACAUGAGUCUAGUGCUGCAGCUGUAGUCAUUUACAACUCAAUACUGAAAGAGAGCUCUAGUGUCAAAGCACUGGCUGAUCUUUCAAUCUGCUGUGUUUGCUGCAACAUUCAAUAAAGCUUCUCAACAAAC